rnacentral:rRNA from 1 species
UACGUAGGGUGCGAGCGUUGUCCGGAAUUAUUGGGCGUAAAGAGCUUGUAGGUGGUUUGUCGCGUCUGCUGUGAAAAUCCGAGGCUCAACCUCGGACUUGCAGUGGGUACGGGCAGGCUAGAGUGUGGUAGGGGAGACUGGAAUUCCUGGUGUAGCGGUGGAAUGCGCAGAUAUCAGGAGGAACACCGAUGGCGAAGGCAGGUCUCUGGGCCAUUACUGACACUGAGAAGCGAA